CUUGCAGUUUUGCCCUAAGGGAGCACACGCAGAUCUCUUCCUCUUCGUUUGUUUUGUUUGUUUGUUUGUUUUCAUUUUUGGUUUUUUUGCAGGGGGUAACCCCUUCCUCUGCAGACUCGGUCUCCAGGUGCUUGUCUACACGGCUGCGGCAGGCUCUGCGUGGCCCUGACUGCAAGCCCUGAGCUGUUUCUCCGGGCCGAGACUGAAUCGCAGAUGCAGAUGCGCUGAAAGCUGCAGUCCGCGGCCACCCACUGCGCCAGGUGCUGGAAGCCAGCAAGAACCAGCCCCUGUUGUCCGGGGUAGGGCGGGGAGCGGCGGGGAGCAGGGGAACAAAACAAAGAUCACCAACACCCCCUUCUCAGGGCUCCAGGAGGGAACUCACCGGGAUUCUGGUAUAAAGUCCGGCUGGGGAGCCUUUCAUCCCUUGGAGGUCAGGGAAAGCUGCUCUGGGGGGUUACUGCUAGGGAGCCCCAAGGAUGAAGACCUGGCAGAAGUGUUCUGACUGCAGACUAGAGGAAGAACAGGGAGGCCGCUCCUGGAGGACAGGGCUGGGGAGGGGGGCGGUACGGAUGCUGCGGGUCGACGGGUUGCCCUGGACGCUUUGUUAAAACGCUGAUUCCUGGGCCCCUCUGUGGAACUUAGGAUUCCAAACCUCUGCAUUACAGGCUCGGAAAUGUGUAUUUAAUCCAGCUACCAAGGUGAACGUUACAGAAGCAAACCCUGCGCCAUCCACUGAUGAGACACUUUUGGGGGCGUCUCUCCACUUCAGAUUUCUGAAGUUGGAAAAUACAGUUCUUUAGAAACACAGGACAGAGCAGCGGGCCCAGCACAUUAGAAUUACCUGGGCUGUGUGUGUGCGUGUGUGUGUGUGUGUGUGUGUGUGUGUAAUGCUGGUCGUACUGAGGACUGAACCCAAGGCCUUCAUUCUCAGCCUUUGUUUUGUUUUAUUUUGCUUUUGAGACAGGGUCUCACUAAGUUGACCAGGCUGAACAUAGAUUGGUGAUCCUCCUGUCUCAGCCUCCCAGAGUCCUAAGAGUACUGGUAUACACUACCAUGCCCAGCUUAUACGGGACAUAUUUAAAUUGUAGCCAGGGCUUGGGCUACAAUCUAAACCCACUGAGCCAGAAUGUCCACAGAGUUUCGUAAAGGCCUCAGAUGAAUGGGAAGUGUGGCCAGGCUGAGGAGCAGGAUAUUCUAUGGGAGAGAGCCUGGUAUCCCCGAGAGAACCUCGGGCGGUUUGGCAUCAGUGCCUAGACUCUUGCCCCAUAUGCCAGGAAGGAGGAGGCUGUAAACCCUUUAAAGACACGCUCCGUGCCGCUGAGGGGAUGUGUGCAAAGCUACCCGGCCUCAUUCAGUCCACAAGUGUUCAUUGUUCACCUGCCAGGUACCUGGCACGGCUGCAGAUAUUGGGAAGGUAGCCAACACGGCCCGGCCUCUCCCUGGGUCACGCUUCUAACCUGGAAGCCAGAAAGCGUAGGUGUGAUAGAGUUUCCCAUUGCAUUUGCAAUGCAGUAGAAUCUGGAGAGAUGUCACCACGUUCAACUACCAGACACCAACUUAACCAGAAUGUUAGUGUUAAAUGUUAAUGUUGACACAAUAUUUUGCAAAAGCUUGCCAGAUGCUUCCAGUAUCGGGCUAGAGGCAGCAACCCCUGGCUUAGACUCCGAGCCCAUGGCAGGGCCCUGGACCUGGCCCCAAACACAUUUUAGAGUCUUGUAAAGCACUCUCUACUUCUCUGAGCAUUGAGAAAUCCUUUUUUCUCCGGACCAGAUGCACCCCUGCACUGUGUGUGUGCAGAGCAUCUUAGGAGAUGACUGAUAAAUUUAGGUGGCAGAGGAGGGGAAAAGGCGCCAGCUAAGAUCCCGACAGCUAGACGGAAAUGGAAUCUCUUGGGUCUUUAGGGCAAGGACCAAAAGUCCAGACACUGAAAUUUGGUCAGAGGUAGAAAAGGGAACCAGCCUCCCCCGCCGCUGUGGAAAAGGAGAAGAAUGGUGGGUGACACCACCCCCACCCUGCCGCAGCCCCCUCCCCUAAAUCCCUUUCUGCUAACUGUCUCUUGGUUAUCCCCAUGCAGAACCAUUCCUCUCUUCUGGCAACAGCACCUUGGUGUGUUCCUUUGGGAAACCGUGUCUGUCUGUCUGUCUGUCUGUCUGUCUGUCUGUCUGUGUAUGGUGCCAGGACUCAGGGCCUUGGUACUACAAAGCACACACUCUGCCACUAUGCUACACCCUCAACCCCUAGCAAGCUACAGUCCACCCCUGCACCACUCCCAACAAAGAAGAAGCUAUAAGACCCAGGCGAGGCAGACCAGAGAGUUUUACCUCCUCGAGCCUGAGUUCCACGAACGCGGAGACUGUGACUGCCUGGUGAUGGCUUCCUGCACAGUGGACGUGGCUGCAUCCCCAGAUCCUCAAUCAGUCCUGAGAAGGCAGGAACUCACCGAGAGCAGCUGAGGACAGAGGGAAGGACGGGGCUCGAACCGGCUCCCCGCAAGAGAUCAGCCAGGAGGAAUCCAUCGGGAAGAUGGGUGCUUUGCCCAUUUAAUGACCAGACAUGGGUGUUGUGCAAAUCGGUGUGUUAAACACACUCAUGGCUCUGCUUCUAACACGACUACGCUACCUUCAAACAUUUUUACCUCAGCAGCAUUUCAUCUGACCCGAUGGCUUCGGGGAAACGCCCCCUGCACCUAUUUUUAAAGAAAAUUAAAAGAACUGUUGUCUA